rnacentral:tRNA from 2 species
GGUCCCAUAGUCCAAUGGCUAAGACACAUCCUUGACGUGGAUGAAACCCAGGUUCAAUUCCUGGUGGGACCA